AGAGCGAACGCUGGCGGCAGGCCUAACACAUGCAAGUCGAACGAUCUCUUCGGAGAUAGUGGCAGACGGGUGAGUAACGCGUGGGAACGUGCCCUUUGGUUCGGAACAACUCAGGGAAACUUGAGCUAAUACCGAAUGUGCCCUUCGGGGGAAAGAUUUAUCGCCAUUGGAGCGGCCCGCGUUGGAUUAGGUAGUUGGUGAGGUAAAGGCUCACCAAGCCUACGAUCCAUAGCUGGUCUGAGAGGAUGAUCAGCCACACUGGGACUGAGACACGGCCCAGACUCCUACGGGAGGCAGCAGUGGGGAAUCUUGCGCAAUGGGCGAAAGCCUGACGCAGCCAUGCCGCGUGAAUGAUGAAGGUCUUAGGAUUGUAAAAUUCUUUCAGCAGGGACGAUAAUGACGGUACCUGCAGAAGAAGCCCCGGCUAACUUCGUGCCAGCAGCCGC
rnacentral:rRNA from 1 species